AUUGAACGCUGGCGGCAUGCUUUACACAUGCAAGUCGAACGGUAACAGGCCGCAAGGUGCUGACGAGUGGCGAACGGGUGAGUAAUGCAUCGGAACGUGCCCAGUCGUGGGGGAUAACGCAGCGAAAGCUGCGCUAAUACCGCAUACGAUCUAUGGAUGAAAGCGGGGGACCGUAAGGCCUCGCGCGAUUGGAGCGGCCGAUGUCAGAUUAGGUAGUUGGUGGGGUAAAGGCUCACCAAGCCAACGAUCUGUAGCUGGUCUGAGAGGACGACCAGCCACACUGGGACUGAGACACGGCCCAGACUCCUACGGGAGGCAGCAGUGGGGAAUUUUGGACAAUGGGCGCAAGCCUGAUCCAGCCAUGCCGCGUGUCUGAAGAAGGCCUUCGGGUUGUAAAGGACUUUUGUCCGGGAGCAAAUACCCAGUGCUAAUAACACUGGGGGCUGAGAGUACCGGAAGAAUAAGCACCGGCUAACUACGUGCCAGCCGCCGCCGUAAGAC
rnacentral:rRNA from 1 species